rnacentral:misc_RNA from 1 species
AAGAGAACGGGUGAAAGCCCAACCUCCAACCCUUUGUCGUAAACCACUAGUUGCCUUGCCUUAAGUUGGUUGACUGUGGCGUGGGAAACCACACCACAUCAUGCCGGCCUCUUGGGCGAUGGAUCUUUAAACUCGAAUAUCAGUGUAGUCUGAGUAAAAAUUCAAUGAAUUA